AAAAAGGAAGAGAGAAAAUCCAUUUGCACUGUGGAGCGUAACAUUAUCUGCAAAACUAAACAGUUUCUGUACCCAGAGUGGGUGCAUGUAUUGGCGAUGUCUUAUUUUCUCUACAGGUAUUGCAGAGUGGAGGAUCUCCCUCAGGAGUGCUCUGGAACCCCCCAGGUGAGUGUGAGUUGUCCCUCAGGCCAAAUGGAGCAAAGUACAGAUGGACAUGAAGGCCAGUGUAUCCCCCCAUGCUUCCAUCUGCAGCUCCAUAACAAAGCCGUGAUAUGAUGCCAUGCCACAAUUCUCUGGCAAGAAUAGAAUACCACAGUGCAAUUCAGACUGCCUUCUAGCUGCAAAUUGACUUCAACUCAUUAAAUAGAUAUUCUUCUAAAUAAAUGACUCACUUUUGGUGUGACACAAAGGAAGAAAGGAAAAUUGAAAGGAUGCAUACAAGAAAGUGUACUCUAUUUUUUUGAUCUUUCACCUAACUGGCCACUGUAUGGGAUAUGCCACAUGGUAUAUCUAAUGCUCUUUGUAUCCUUACAAAGGAGUGAUUGAUAAUAAAUUAGAGCACCUUAAUUUAAGCUCUGAAGUCCAAAUGCAGGUGUCUUAAUGCAGCUUCUAUGUGAAAGUGGAAAGCAGUUGGUCCUUCACAACUCGUUUCAAAAGGAGUUGUUAGGGACUCAACCUGCUUUUAAAUUAGUUUAAAGUAAGGGUCCUAAAUGUGGUUUAAUAUUUAGCAACACCUUGCUCCCCUUAUCAUAAAGAUUGAUGCUAGUUGAACAUUCUAGGUGCUGUGUGCAAUACCCUGAAUAAACGCAUGGGUGCUUGAAGUAAAGAAUGUUAGACUACUGACUCUGAGGUGUCAGAAUUUUUUCCUAAGUGACUGUAUUGCACAGAUACAUUUCUAGAUUAAAAUCUGAAAACAAGUAAGAACUCUUCACAUAAUACAUAAUCGUGCCCACACUUCAAAGUGCAGCAGUAGGAGGCUAAGAAAUUACAAAGAUAGUAAUUCUGUUGAAAAAGAAAUAUAUUUUUCCUGUUAAGCUUUGUUAAUUUUUCAGAGUUAGAGAAGAUCUUGCCUUCUACUGAUGGUAUAGAGGUCAAGGAACUAUUAUCAGUAGUCAUAUUUUGAGAACUGGAAGACUUCAAUUCUGAUAUUAUCUCUUCCUGUACGUGCAGCAUUCCUUCUCUGUCAGCGACAUAGAUCCUCAUGCUAUUGCUUCCAGGUUUAUGUAGAGGAGAUUUUGUCCAUGUGGAAGCAUCCAUACACCAUUGAGGCCAUAGUACAGGCCUACUGUGGAAACUACAUCAGGGGCUCGUGUAUUACAUGUUACUCUGCUUCAAGCACUAUUGCUACCCUUGUCAAUCAAAGCAAGAUGAUAACUAGAGUAUGCUGGUAGCACAUGGCUGGGUCCUGACACAGGCCUAUAAGCAAAUGAUAAUACAAAUAAAAAGUAGUGGACAGGAGGCUUCUGAAAAAGAAGACUCACCUUUUAAGGGACUAGAAACCUGAAGAAAACAAGAGGUCACGUCCUGGAUAGAUAUUUAAAAUUUUAUUAGUAUUUUGAUGGUUUGGGAUAUGAUUGAUUUUUGAUUUUAUUUGUCCUCUUUCCAUUAGCUUUUUAUCAGAAUGAAAUCUAAUCACAGUCAGUUGCCAGAGCUCGGCUGACAGAUGGUAACUUGUUAAGGCAUGGUUGUGUGAUUGUGUUCAUCAUUUGCCCCAGUCUAUACCAGAGCCAGUAGUCCUCAUCUGGUCUCAAAAGCUUUAUUAAUGUAACUCAAUUUGUCUCAGAAAUCACUGGGGCCACUUCUUUACCCCCAGAGUGAGACAUCAUCUUCUUUCUGGUUAAGUUAAUAACUGACCAACUAAAUGGCACUCCUUAAGCCAUUUAAGUUUUGUCUUGAAGGAUGAAAGAUAAAUUAGUUUAGAAAUAGUUUUGUUACACUGACACUAAGCAAAUCACUAUACUUUUCUGUGUGUAUAAAGUUUAAGUACACUUGAAGAACUGUCAAGUUCUAGUGGUACAAAAUUGUAUUGUCCUUCAAUCAAGCCACAGCAACAGGCUGAGUGCACGCUCCUGUAAAGUAAAAUACAACAGCUCAAAUCUUCCUUUGCUAGUUAACCUACAGAUUAAACUGUUUCAUUAAAAUGUAAACCACUGUGUGUUACUUGAAGUCAGACUGACCUAAUACUAUCUGUGGUCAGUUGGCACUUCUCAGCAGAUAGGGAUAAUUGGUUAAACCCCUCACUCUUUCAGAGUGGUUUCACAUGCUACGUGCAUUAACCAUUUCCAUAUUUUAACCACUUGAAGAUUGAAAGGCAUUUCAAUUUGAAAAUUUCUCAUGGCUCUAAUAAGCUUGAUUCUUUUUUAGUCUGUCUAAAAGCACUAGAAUUCACCUUUUGGAAGAGAUGCACAAAUGGAUGUGUCUUUGAUGUGUUUAGAGCUGCAAAAGUUUGAUAUUUUCAAUUAAAACAAGUGCUAUUUACUUCUAUACUUAUGGAUAAUAGAGCACUUUUGACUUUUACAAAGUGCGUGUUAUUAAAGCACUUCACUAAUGUACAAAGGCACUUUCAUAAAACAAGGAAGAAAAGAAGCAGUCCUCUUUCAAAAUGUCUCUGGAAAAUGAGAUGAAAGUAGAAAAAAACUUGCAAGAAAAGAGUUCUUUAACAAUAAGAGAGCUAUCUUCAACUGUUCCUGUGUAUGAUUUCAGUCAUCAUCUUUAUGCCUAGAAGCACUUUUAUAAACAUUUGUAACAAUUUAAACAUAUUCUAUCACUCAAAACUUUUCACACAAGGGUUCUUCACCCUAACCUUUUUGAUGAGGCCAGAAAACACUUCUCUUGUGGUUUCCAAGGUAUUCCUGAAAUAGUACAAUGGAGAAAUAAUAUGCUAUUGUUAGUGUUCAGGAACAGCUAUUACUGAUUUAUUACUUAAUAUCAUUACAGAGAUUGUAUAUGGACCUUUUAUUUCUGUGUACCUCACUUUAUGUAUUUUCCACAAAUAUUUUCUGUAUUAUGUUCUGGAACUGCAGUUUUCAGGAAUUUAGGUGCUGAUUCAGCCAUAAAGACAUUUUUCUCUUCUACACUUUUUGUCCUCUUUUGAAUUUAGAACUGACAACGACAGAGAUCCAUCAAUCAGAAAUUGGUGCAGUCAGAUCUGCCACAAAGUACUAUGUAGAAUGAAAUGUCUAAAAAUGUAAUUAUUAUAUUAAAGUCUUGGUAGCCAAACUGAAGGAAGAACUAGUGUGUUUUUUUCCAAA
ensembl:lncRNA